rnacentral:lncRNA from 1 species
UGGGCAUGAUAUUUCCCCUAUAAGACUCUAUCUUAUUGGGAAAGGACCCCCUAAUCAUUUUAAUUUUGAGAAACUGGAAUAUCAAUAUAACUCAAGGUCCCAAUCUGUAUGAGGAACCAUGUAAAAAGUUAUAUGGUAAGCAUUUUAGUCAAAUUCUUGUGCAAAUCUGCUGCCAUUUGGGGAUUAACUACAAGAAGAUAAUACUAUAAUGCAAACCAUAAGACUAGAAAGGAUGAGGAUUUGAAAUAUAUUGUAUUACUCCCACAUGCUCCUGGAGAACAACAAAGAAGUUUACACAUGUUUAAAAGACAGAAUUUGACUGCCUUUGGGUGGGGGGAUGAUAUUUGGACCAAUGGUUCUAGGGAGUUCAUGAUAUCAUCACUUGUCUGCUUCAUAAAUUUAUAUGUUUCUGCUCAUGAAGCAGCUUCAGGAUUUGAGAAGGUUUGCUUUCACCACAAGAUGUGAGUUGAUUCCGUGGAUUAUCAGUGGUAGCCUCUUCUUCAUCCCAACUCAGUGAGUUCUGCAAUGAGGAUGCUUUGGAUAUGAUCAUAUCUAAAUUCUUUUAUCUUGGCUCGGUAAGCUGGGAAAUGAGGAUGGUUCGGAUGGCUUGGAUGACUGAUUCAUGUACACUCACACACUUAAGUGGGAAGUGAGAUAAAGGAAGGCGUUUUCACUGCAGGGGAUUGUGAUACCUCCCAUGGAAUGAUCAUAUCCGAAUUCUUCUUCAGCUUGACUCAACAAAUCCAGGAAUAAAGGCUCAUUCAAAUAUGAUAUUGGAAUCACAAAUCGCUUCUUCUGGCUCUCCCCAACAUAGACUGCAAAGUAGCCUUUUGGGAUAUCUAAGGUCUUUGAAUCUGCUGUCUGGCUUGAACUAGAUAGAGAUCGAAUGAGACUUCUCUUUGCAUUAACAAUUGCAGGCAACCGGAAACCCAUGGUCUUAUACAUGCUCAAAGUACAAAAGAAGAAGAAAGGAAUUCAAAGGACCUGAAUUUGGAAAGCAGAGAAAGCUAUGCUUGAGAAGGUGAAGACUUGAGUUGCUCAUGAUGAACUUGGUCAUGUGUAUAUAUAGAUCAAGAGUAUCCAGAAAAUCAACAGCUACAUGAAACAAUUGGUGAAGAGGCACUGAGAUGGGCUCCAAUGAGGGACACUUGAUUGUGAGAAAUCACAUGGGUUUGUCGUCCGUCUAACGCAAUUUGUCCCCAAAAGAUUUCUCCCGGAACUCUUCCUUACCUGCUCUAGGUAACAGACAACAAAAGGACCACCAGAGAUGAUUCAAUCCAAAAGAAUUAUGUCUGUUAGGUAAGUAGCAUUUAUGCUUGAGACAUGCACUUCUCUUUGUUCACACUAAUUCAACUGACCACAUAAUCGGACUAGUUUACUACAAAUUUUCUUGAUUAGGUCUGCUAAUGAAUUGCCCUCUCACUUCAUCAAAAGACCAACAACACUGCAUAUGUCGUGGUCCUACCCAACACUGAUACAAUUGUGUUGUGUGGGAGCAGCAAUGCACCCUAUCAUGUGGCUUUGUAGUUUCGUCUCUGAUCUUCAGUCUCAGCAAACAAAGGAGGUAUUUAUUUCAUUUUGUUAGGCCAAUCCGGACUUAACCAGAAAACAGUAUUCAUUUAAAUAGUUGACAGUAAUUGAUCAAGAAAACUGAAGUUAAUAAAUUGAACUUAAGGUACUCUUUCUAUACUCAAUUUUUAAAAAACCAUUUUCCAUUGCCAGUCUUGUUUAGGCAAGUUCGGCCAAGAGCCUACUAAAAAACCAUUUUCCAUUGCUAGGUUGAUAAUUAAUCUCUUCUUGCCUUUGCUUAUGGCAACAAUUGAAGAUAUCUUAGAGGAUUAAUAUUUAUCAUACAUCUAUUCUUUUUUAUGAAAGACACGAUCGAGCUAGUAUCAUACACCUAUUCUUUGUGACAUACAUAAAUAUGGAGUAAAUCAAGAAAAUAGUCGUGUAUUAUUUGUGAUCCGAUGUAAACUUGGCUUUCACUCACUAGUGCAGGGAAUUCUUGCACAUAUAUUGUGCAAUUUUUUAACCAAAGAACCUUAGUGGCUCGGCUCAGUGCCUCGUUCUAUUCCCUCGUGAUGACUCUCCUUCUCAUUAUUCUUUCAGGGUAAAGAUUCCCAAUAGAACUGAUAAUAUUUUAUUUUGGAAGGAAUGUUAAAAAGUGGUGUACUUCAAGUUCAUGGUUCCAUUUGGCAUGAGGCACCGUGGAUAUAGGAAGUACUAAGUAAACCAUUAUACUUUCUUUUUUAUAGUAAACCAUUGAUGAUUUUAUUUUAUGACAGAGCUACAAGUAUAAUGAAAAAUAAGACAAGAAAGUGGAUCGGGAUUUAAAUUUACAUACAAGAAAGUCAUAGCAUCCAACCCAAAUAUGGAGAGGACCAACAUCUUUUAUACUACAAUGCUCCGAAUGUACUCUCAAUGAUUUCAAAAUUUCGAUCAUGAUUUUGGACUAAAGUUUUUCAACGUCCAUAGUGUCUUCGUUUGUCGGAUUCAUGAACUUUUUAACUUUAUGCUCAGAUCACAAGCAGCCUCAGGCUUACAGAUUGCUUCCUCUCAGCACAAGAUGUAAGUCGACUCAGUGGACGAUCAAGAAUAGCCCCGUUCUCAUCAUUACUUAGUGAGUUCUGAAAUGAGGAUGCUUAUACAUGAAUGAAUUUGGAUCAUAGUUUCUUUUCUUUAGUGUUCACUCAUACACUUAAGCGGGAAGUGAGAUGAAGGAAGGUGUCUUCACUGCAGGGGAUUGUGAUACCACCCAUGGGAUGAUCAUAUCCAAAUUCUUCUUCAGCUUGACUCAGCAAAUCCAGGAACAAAGGCUCAUUCAAGUAAGAUAUUGGAAUCAAAAACUGCGUCUUUUGGCUCCCCCCAACAUAGACUGCAAAAUAGCCUUUUGGGAUAUCUAAGGUCUUUGAAUCAGCUGUCUGACUUGAACUAGAUAGAGAUCGAAUGAGACUUCUCUUGGCGUUAACAAUUCCGGGCAACCGGAAACCCAUGAUUUAGUAUUCUCAAAAGGACAACCGGAUUAUAUUGAAGCUUGGUAUACUAUCUUUCUUCACCAAUCUGAAGAUUUUAGUCAUUCCUGGUUUAUUAAUUUUGAUAAUAAGUUCAAAAGCCCAUUCCCCUACUGGUUUCUUCACUGGUGGGAAAAAUAUGGUCCAGUUGAUGAAAUUCUUCCAGUAUCAGUUCUUGAGUUGAUCCGCCAUUUUACUAAAAGAGCCAAGUUUUCCCUAGUUGAUUUAUUCUUUCCCAAACAGUUGCUGUUUAUUGCCAGAUACAAGGUACCUUGGAUCCUUAAAUGGUCCUAUGCCAUCACCAAGGACACCCGUGUAUUUGCCCGCCAAUUCUCAAUCAAAUGAGUCAAGAAAUGAUGGAGUUCUGUAAGAAAGAAAUUGAAGAGUUGCUUAAUCUUGAGUCAAUCAAAAAGCACAAGACUGAUGGAAACAAUUUCCUGCAUAUUGGUCUUGUUCAAGUCGCCGUUAAGCCCCUAACCAGGUUAGGUUUGAAAGCCUCCAUACUGCUCUGUUUACGCGAUGCCCGGUUCACCGCGUUCAGUGACAGUACGCUAGGAGUUAUUGAGUCCAGUUUGUGUAACGGUCCAGUUCAUUUUGAUUGUUACCCAGACUUCACUGUAAGCCUUAGUGAUCCACAUAUAUUGAGAACCCUAACUCUCAAUAUUAAGACUGAAGGUUAUAAUGUCCUCCCAGGAACCCAACCUUUAGCAUUAGUUUACAGAAUUUACUAUAAGGUCACAGGAACCAAUAUGAACUUCCAGGCCUUAAACAAAAGCCCAAAGGAUCAGACAGUCCUGAUCCAGAGUCACACCUCAGACGCCCAUAUUCAAGUUCCCCAGACCAUUAAAUGGUCAGAAGUUGCCCUUCCAACAGAUUGGACCUUAGUUACCGAGAGCCAACCAGCUCCGAUUCAACGUAGUCUAAACAAUUUAGACUACAUCCAGCAGUACUUAGAUGGCACGGUUAAGAUUAGAUUCGAUAGCCAGCCUCUACAUAAGUCUAAAGUCCAGUUACACCAGUUACCAACCCCAGGUCAGUCACAAAGGCAUGCCCCAGCUAGGCACUCCUUUACUGCCUCAUCCUCAACUCUAGAACGAGACCUAGAGUUAGAAAAAACCAUGAUAGAUUUAAAGCUUGAGUCCCUGAGAAGAUCCUCUCAGGUAACCCAACCCUGCUACGGCACGGUUCCAGUAGAAGAAAAGUCAGAAUCCCCUGAGUCACCUACCCAGUCUGACUUCAUAGUUGAAAACCAGUUAAGAACCCUUAAUAGAAAAUUUAAAAUUGAUUGGUCACGUCUAAACAAACAUCUCAAAGCCCCUGAGAACCUGUCUAGACGAGAUAGUUAUCACCAAGCCUUUCCUGAUAGUAGCCGCCGCUUAGAAAUCUUUAGUGAAUGGAAAGAUUACAUGCGGUCAGCCCAAGUUGAAAUUUUCUACCUUGAUUUUGUUGAAAGCCGUUAUAUGUCAAAUGAUGAGUUAAAAACCUUAACUCAGCAAAAAUGGAAAAUGGCAGAUAAGUCUGUCGUUGAGUCUAGCCAUCCUCCAGUAGAAACCAUAAUUAUUGAGCAUAAAGAUACUCUUAUUCCUGCUACUCCUUUCAAAACAUUUGAAAGCAGUGACAGUAAUAGAAGAAUUCUUGAGCAAAAUAAUUAUACCAACCAGAGUCUAAUUGUUAUAGGAAAACAGUUGGAUACAAUUGAAACUAAAAUUGAUAAGAUAGGUUCUACAGACGUAGAGUCUAAAAAGAAAAUUGAAAAACCAAUUGUCCAGUUCCAGGAUCUUAGGUCUAGCCCGACCCUUAAGAUCACACCUACAAUAAAGAAAAUAGAAGACAUGUUAGCCCAGUUGACCCCUGCCAAAGUUGAAAAAACUGAGAAAUCUGGUCUUAAAACACUGGAUGCCUUUGCAGUAGAAAAUACCUCUGAGUCUGAGUCUUCAGAAGUAAGCAAUAUUUCUAAAAUUGAAAAAGCCUUUCAAACUUUAGAAAUCCAAGUUGAACCCAAAGUUAAGAAAUUAGAAAAGUUUGUCAGCCCCAGUAGUCUGACCAAAAAUUGGUAUCCCAGACCAACACCUCCUGACAUUCAAUUUGAAGAAAGAAACCUGCAGACCCAGUUCUCUGUUUCUUCCGACAAAUUGUAUGAAUGGAAUAUUGAUGGUCUCUCUGAGCAAGAGAUCCUCAAUAAGUUACAACAUAUGUCCAUGGUUGCCAAUAGUUAUAUCACCAAUCACAGUUUCAGACAGUCUGAAAUUGUCCCUCUGUUAGUCACAGGUUUCACCGGUACUCUCAGAAGUUGGUGGGAUAAACACCUGAGUCCUGAGUCUAAAAGCCGUAUAACCUUUGCUGUAAAACUGAAUGAUGACGGUCACCCUAUCUUUGACGAACGAAUAGGUCAAGGUAUAGAAGACGGUGUCAACACCCUGUUUUACACCAUAAUCGAUCACUUCAUAGGAACCCCUAGUAAUCAAACUGCUAGGAUCCAUGACCAGUUAAGUAAUCUUAGAUGCCCAAAGUUGUCCGAUUUCAGAUGGUAUAAGGAUGUCUUCAUCUCUAGAGUCAUGCUUAGAGACGAUAGUAACCAACCAUUCUGGAAAGAGAAAUUUGUUAAUGGUUUGCCAAACCUAUUUGCCCAUAAGAUCAGAACUACCCUCAGUAAUGAAUUAGGUCAUAUUGAUUGGGAUAGUUUAACUUAUGGUAACAUUGUAAGCACAAUUAAUCAAGUUGGCAUGAAAAUGUGUGUUGAUUACAAAAUCGGAAAACAAAUACAGUCCGAUAGGAAAUCAGCCAAAUAUGAGUUAGGAAACUUCUGUGAACAAUACGGUCUCAGUAGCAUUCCGCCCUCUAGAAGAAAUAAGUCUAAGCCAAGUCACCUUAGGAAACGUCGGUUUUCCUCUAAAAGAAAACAUUUUGCAGUUAAAAGUGAUAAUGAGUUUUAUAAGAAAAGAAAAAGUUUUAAAAGAAAAAAUUGGUCUAAAGCCCCCAGAAAAGCCCAGAAGAGUCGACCCAAAACCGAUAAGUCCAAAGUUAAAUGUUUUAAAUGUCAAAAAUUUGGUCAUUAUGCCUCUGAGUGUAAAGUUAAAGAUGCCAUUAAGCAGUUGCAGAUCUCAGAAGCUGAAAGAGAAAAGUUGAUCCAAGUUUUAGAGUUGCGAGACUCUGAAACUAGCAGUCCCGAAACCUUAGUUGCCAGCUCUGGAUAUGAUUCUGAACAAGCUUCAGAUUCCCAGCCUAGUUCCCCUGAUGUCCAAUUUGGUUGCACCGAUAAGUGUUGUAAUAGAUUAAAAUCUAUUUUUGUUCUUACCAAACAGGAAGAACAAGAAGAGUUGUUAAUCGACUUAAUCAGCCGAGUAGAAAACCCUGAGUUAAAGUCCGAUUAUUUGAAAAAAUUGCGAAAAGUCAUUAGUCAAGAAAGCUCUAGUAGUCCUAAACCGCAGCCAGUCAGUUUAGCCACUACUAUAGAAAAGUUCGCUCAGAAAAAGAAAGAAGUUACCUUACAAGACCUCCAGUUAGAAGUCAAAUUAGUCAAACAAGAAUUAGCCGAGUUAAGACAGAUUAGUAACCAGUUGCAGGUUGAAAACCAUACAAUCAGGCAAGACUUAACAAGUCUUCAAAAAGGCAAAAUGCCUUUAGAGCCCAGUAACCAGUCAGACAGCCCUGCUGGUUCUGACGAAGAAACCCCAGUUGUCAACCUAAUCAAACAAGUCAAUUUCCGAAAAUGGUAUUCGAAAGUUACAAUAGUUGUCAAAGAUUUUGAGUUUACCACAGUUGCCUUAUUUGAUUCAGGAGCCGACCUUAACUGUAUUCAGGAAGGUCUAAUUCCUACUAAGUACUACCAGAAGUCUAGAGAAACCCUAAGCACUGCUUCAGGAAAAUCUCUUCAGCUGAAUUAUGAGUUGCCUAAAGCCCAUAUUUGCCAAAACAGAGUUUGUUUUAAAACUUCGUUUGUUUUAGUUAAAAAUAUUACUGAUGAGGUUAUCUUAGGAUUACCCUUCAUAAGUCUGCUUUAUCCCUUCCAGGUAGAAUACGACGGUGUCAUUUCUACCCAAUUAGGUGAGAAAGUUAAGUUUAGUUUCCUUUCUAAACCUGAGUUGCAUAAUCUGAAAGCCUUACAGAAACAGUCUGUCUCUAGGUCCCUUCAGGUUGUCCAAAAAACUAACCAGUUGAAAUUUCUUAAGGAAGAAAUUAAGUUUAAGAGAGUUGAACAACAACUUGCCAGUCAGUCCUUACAGUUGCAAAUUCAAAAAUUUGAACAAAGAUUAAAAGAAGAAAUUUGUUCUGAGUUGCCCACAGCCUUUUGGUAUAGGAAGCAGCAUGUCGUCCGUCUUCCCUACAUCAAAACCUUUAGUGAGAAAAAUAUCCCCACUAAAGCCAGGCCAAUCCAAAUGAGUCAAGAAAUGAUGGAGUUCUGUAAGAAAGAAAUUGAAGAGUUGCUUCAAAAGAAAAUAAUUCGCAAGAGUAAGUCCCCCUGGUCAUGUCCUGCUUUUUAUGUCCAGAAAAAUGCUGAACUAGAAAGAGGUGUUCCCAGAUUAGUUAUCAAUUAUAAGCCCCUUAAUGCGGUCCUAGAAUGGAUUAGGUAUCCCAUACCUAAUAAAAGAGAUCUCAUUAAUCGGUUAGAAAAAGCAGUUGUCUAUUCUAAGUUUGAUUUGAAAAGUGGUUUCUGGCAAAUCCAAAUAGAUGAGUCAGACAGAUAUAAGACUGCAUUUGUCACUCCCUUUGGUCAUUACGAGUGGAAUGUAAUGCCCUUUGGUUUGAAAAAUGCUCCUAGUGAAUUCCAGAAUAUCAUGAAUGAUAUAUUCAAUCCUUACAGUCAGUUUUCGAUUGUUUAUAUUGAUGAUGUUCUAAUCUUUUCUGAGUCAAUAGAACAACAUUGGAAACAUUUGCAUAAGUUCCUUCAAGUUGUCAAACAAAAUGGUUUAGUUGUUUCUGCCAAAAAGAUCAAGUUGUUUCAAACCAAUAUUCGUUUUCUUGGUUUCAAUAUUUGUCAGUCGCAAAUCUCCCCAAUUGAUCGAGUUAUCCAGUUUGCUGAUAAGUUCCCUGAUCAAAUUCUUGAUAAGAGUCAACUUCAGAGGUUUUUAGGAUCCCUAAAUUAUAUCUCUGACUUCUAUCAGAAUCUGAGAAAACAGUGUAAGCCCCUAUUUGAUAGGUUGCAGAGUAAUCCUCCUCCUUGGUCGUCUACUCACACUGAAGUUGUUAAACAGAUUAAAUCCCAUGUCAAGACACUUCCCUGUCUUGGUAUUCCUUCAGUUGAUUCAUUCAAAAUAGUUGAAACCGAUGCCUCUGACAUAGGUUAUGGUGGCAUUCUUAAGCAAAAAGUCAGUCCUAGUUCUCCAGAACAAAUUGUUCGAUUCCAUUCUGGAACCUGGACUCAGUCGCAGCAUAAUUACAGUACUAUUAAAAAAGAAAUUUUAGCUAUUGUAUUAUGCAUUAGUAAAUUUCAAGAUGAUUUGCUUAAUCAAAAGUUUUUAAUCCGAGUUGAUUGUAUGUCUGCAAAACAUGUUUUAGAAAAAGAUGUUCAAAACAUUGCAUCUAAACAGAUUUUUGCACGAUGGCAAAGUAUAUUAAGUAUAUUUGAUUUUGAAAUUGAAUAUUUGAAAGGCAGUGAGAAUUCUGUUCCUGAUUUUCUCACUCGAGAAUUCUUGCAGGAUGCACAAUGGCUCCCAAGAAAGACAAACAAAAAGCAGUAGCCAGUCAACCCAAGUUGCCCAAGUCGCCCAAAUCAACCCAGUCAUCCCAGUCGCUCAGAGUCCUUCCUUCCUCCAUGAGUCAACCUAAGCCAGAGUUGCCCAGGCAAAUAGUUCCAUAUCCGGGUCACCCCCCAUUAUCAGUUGCCACUCCAAUUUCAGUUGCAAACAGAUUUUCCUCUUUAGGAUCCACAGUUGGCCAAAUUCGCCCCAGUUAUCAAUCCACCUUAAUUUCCAGUUAUGACCCCUUUGCAGUUGAGAUCCCUGCAGAGCCAUCAGUUGUGCCAUCAGUUGUCCACAAAAAAUCGUCUCCUUAUUUGCCUAAAAGUAAUUCUCAUUUAUUUGUCAUUGAGUCCACAUAUGAUAUUCAUGCAAAUCCAGUAGAAAUUGCCAAACACUAUUUCCCUCCUGGAUUUCAUUAUAUGCCCCAGAGUCCAUAUAAGUCCCUCAAGUACUAUAGAGAUAUAUUACUUGAGACACAAUCAGUUGAAAUUAAGCCGAUAAAGGAUCGGGAUCAUCCUGAAACCAUUCUUUAUCAUUCUUUGUAUAUUCAUAAAAUUGUAAGCCAAGAAUCUUUUAGUAGCCAUCCUUAUGAGUUGAAAACACUUAAGUCAAAAUUACAAUAUAAUUAUUCUGAUUAUAUUGAAGCCUGGUAUACUAUUUUCCUUCAUCAAUCUGAAGACUUUAGUCAUUCCUGGUUUAUUAAUUUUGAUAAUAAGUUCAAAAGUCCUUUCCCCUACUGGUUUCUUCACUGGUGGGAAAAAUAUGGUCCUGCUGAGGAAAUCUUGCCAGCCUCAGUUCUUGAGUUAAUUCAACAUUAUGCCAAAAAAGCCAAGUUUUCUCAAGUUGACAGAUUCUUCCAGUUGCAAAUGCUUUUUAUUGCCAGGUAUAAGGUGCCUUGGAUCCUCAAAUGGGGUUACAGAGUCACCAAGGAUACCCGAGUACUUGCCCGCCAGUUUUCAGUUAAGUGGUGGGACAAAUUUGAAGUUGAACGAAUUGCUAAAAAUGUCUAUAAUGACCUCCCCCGGGAGCCAGUUCCUCGCCAUGUAUCCCCUACAGGUUCAGUCCGAUCUUCCUUAUCAGUUGAAGGAAAAUCCAAGUCAGAACUUCAGGAGAUUGCACGCCAGCUGAUCAUCCAGGCCUCUCAAAUGGAUGAUGAUGAGGACAAUGAUUCUCCCCCAUCGUCUAGUUGCCAGCCCGUGCAGAGUCCUGCCAAGACAAAGUCAUGGUUUGAUGACAGCCAGGACCCCUACGAUGCCUACGAUCUAGGGGAAUCCUCUCCAUAAUUGCCUCAGUUGCCGACAAACAAGCCUCGUCAAAGAAGUUGCCAAUUUGUCAAAAGAAGUUGCCGACAGACCACUCUGUCAAAAGAAGACGCCAGAUCACGUGAAAGCAGCGGACAAAGCAUCUCUGCUUUUACUUUAGUCAGAUCACCGAAAAGUAGCAGACAAAGCACUGUUUGCUUUUUGACAAUCCACCGAAAAUAGCCGAAAGCAUCUGCAGGAGUCAAAGUUACCUCUACAGUUGCUAAAGUUGAAUCAGGUUGAACACCCGUGCCUCUAAGGCCGAAGCCUGCUUAUAAAGAGAAAAGCAACUAUGGUUUACAUAACUUAGGAUAACAAAUAACUCGGGUAAGCAACUGUAGGAGCACGGGUAUGCAACCCGAUUCAACUUUCAAUUUUGUCUUCUUGUGGUGAAUUCAGAAAUCAACCUUGUCGGCUGGGCUUUGUCAGCUGGCAGGGAAUCUUCUGCUUUCGGCUACUUUCGAUGAAGUGACCAAAGCGAAACAGUGCUUUGUCUGCUGCUUUAGAAAAUGCUUCAUGUGAUGGCUGCUUUCGGCAAAAGCAAACAGGGCUUUGUCUGCUGCUUUCACGUGGGGCAAUUAUGGAGGGAAUCCCUAAUCAGACCCGAGGUCAUAGCCGUCAUAGGGAUCCUGGCUGUCAUCAUACCAAGUCUUUGGCUUGGCAGGGCUCUGCAUGGGCUGGCAACUAGAUGACGAGGGAGAAUCAUUGUCCUCAUCAUCAUCCAUUUGAGAGGCCUGGAUGAUCAGCUGGCGUGCAAUCUCCUGAAGUUCUGACUUGGAUUUUCCUUCAACUGAUAAGGAAGAUCGGACUGAACCUGUAGGGGAUACAUGGCGAGGAACUGGCUCCCGGGGGAGGUCAUUAUAGACAUUUUUAGCAAUUCGUUCAACUUCAAAUUUGUCCCACCACUUAACUGAAAACUGGCGGGCAAGUACUCGGGUAUCCUUGGUGACUCUGUAACCCCAUUUGAGGAUCCAAGGCACCUUAUACCUGGCAAUAAAAAGCAUUUGCAACUGGAAGAAUCUGUCAACUUGAGAAAACUUGGCUUUUUUGGCAUAAUGUUGAAUUAACUCAAGAACUGAGGCUGGCAAGAUUUCCUCAGCAGGACCAUAUUUUUCCCACCAGUGAAGAAACCAGUAGGGGAAAGGACUUUUGAACUUAUUAUCAAAAUUAAUAAACCAGGAAUGACUAAAGUCUUCAGAUUGAUGAAGGAAAAUAGUAUACCAGGCUUCAAUAUAAUCAGAAUAAUUAUAUUGUAAUUUUGACUUAAGUGUUUUCAACUCAUAAGGAUGGCUACUAAAAGAUUCUUGGCUUACAAUUUUAUGAAUAUACAAAGAAUGAUAAAGAAUGGUUUCAGGAUGAUCCCGAUCCUUUAUCGGCUUAAUUUCAACUGAUUGUGUCUCAAGUAAUAUAUCUCUAUAGUACUUGAGGGACUUAUAUGGACUCUGGGGCAUAUAAUGAAAUCCAGGAGGGAAAUAGUGUUUGGCAAUUUCUACUGGAUUUGCAUGAAUAUCAUAUAUGGAUUCAAUGAUAAAUAAAUGAGAAUUACUUUUAGGCAAAUAAGGAGACGAUUUUUUGUGGACAACUGAUGGCACAACUGAUGGCCCUGCAGGGAUCUCAACUGCAAAGGGGUCAUAACUGGAAAUUAAGGUGGAUUGAUAACUGGGGCGAAUUUGGCCAACUGUGGAUCCUAAAGAGGAAAAUCUGUUUGCAACUGAAAUUGGAGUGGCAACUGAUAAUGGGGGGUGACCCGGAUAUGGAACUAUUUGCUUGGGCAACUCUGGCUUAGGUUGACUCAUGGAGGAAGGAAGGAUUCUGAGCGACUGGGAUGACUGGGUUGAUUUGGGCGACUUGGGCAACUUGGGUUGACUGGCUACUGCUUUUUGUUUGUCUUUCUUGGGAGCCAUUGUGCAUCCUGCAAGAAUUCUCGAGUGAGAAAAUCAGGAACAGAAUUCUCACUGCCUUUCAAAUAUUCAAUUUCAAAAUCAAAUAUACUUAAUAUACUUUGCCAUCGUGCAAAAAUCUGUUUAGAUGCAAUGUUUUGAACAUCUUUUUCUAAAACAUGUUUUGCAGACAUACAAUCAACUCGGAUUAAAAACUUUUGAUUAAGCAAAUCAUCUUGAAAUUUACUAAUGCAUAAUACAAUAGCUAAAAUUUCUUUUUUAAUAGUACUGUAAUUAUGCUGCGACUGAGUCCAGGUUCCAGAAUGGAAUCGAACAAUUUGUUCUGGAGAACUAGGACUGACUUUUUGCUUAAGAAUGCCACCAUAACCUAUGUCAGAGGCAUCGGUUUCAACUAUUUUGAAUGAAUCAACUGAAGGAAUACCAAGACAGGGAAGUGUCUUGACAUGGGAUUUAAUCUGUUUAACAACUUCAGUGUGAGUAGACGACCAAGGAGGAGGAUUACUCUGCAACCUAUCAAAUAGGGGCUUACACUGUUUUCUCAGAUUCUGAUAGAAGUCAGAGAUAUAAUUUAGGGAUCCUAAAAACCUCUGAAGUUGACUCUUAUCAAGAAUUUGAUCAGGGAACUUAUCAGCAAACUGGAUAACUCGAUCAAUUGGGGAGAUUUGCNNNNNNNNNNNNNNNNNNNNNNNNNNNNNNNNNNNNNNNNNNNNNNNNNNNNNNNNNNNNNNNNNNNNNNNNNNNNNNNNNNNNNNNNNNNNNNNNNNNNNNNNNNNNNNNNNNNNNNNNNNNNNNNNNNNNNNNNNNNNNNNNNNNNNNNNNNNNNNNNNNNNNNNNNNNNNNNNNNNNNNNNNNNNNNNNNNNNNNNNNNNNNNNNNNNNNNNNNNNNNNNNNNNNNNNNNNNNNNNNNNNNNNNNNNNNNNNNNNNNNNNNNNNNNNNNNNNNNNNNNNNNNNNNNNNNNNNNNNNNNNNNNNNNNNNNNNNNNNNNNNNNNNNNNNNNNNNNNNNNNNNNNNNNNNNNNNNNNNNNNNNNNNNNNNNNNNNNNNNNNNNNNNNNNNNNNNNNNNNNNNNNNNNNNNNNNNNNNNNNNNNNNNNNNNNNNNNNNNNNNNNNNNNNNNNNNNNNNNNNNNNNNNNNNNNNNNNNNNNNNNNNNNNNNNNNNNNNNNNNNNNNNNNNNNNNNNNNNNNNNNNNNNNNNNNNNNNNNNNNNNNNNNNNNNNNNNNNNNNNNNNNNNNNNNNNNNNNNNNNNNNNNNNNNNNNNNNNNNNACUCAUUUGGAUUGCCCGGGCUAGGCGUAGUAGUCGCGUCUCACUAAAGCGCUUUGAUGUAGGGAAGACGGACGACAUGCUGCUUCCUAUACCAAAAGGCUGUGGGCAACUCAGAACAAAUUUCUUCUUUUAAUCUUUGUUCAAAUUUUUGAAUUUGCAACUGUAAGGACUGACUGGCAAGUUGUUGUUCAACUCUCUUAAACUUAAUUUCUUCCUUAAGAAAUUUCAACUGGUUAGUUUUUUGGACAACCUGAAGGGACCUAGAGACAGAAUGUUUCUGUAAGGCUUUCAGAUUAUGCAACUCAGGUUUAGAAAGGAAACUAAACUUAACUUUCUCACCUAAUUGGGUAGAAAUGACACCGUCGUAUUCUACCUGGAAGGGAUAAAGCAGACUUAUGAAGGGUAAUCCUAAGAUAACCUCAUCAGUAAUAUUUUUAACUAAAACAAACGAAGUUUUAAAACAAACUCUGUUUUGGCAAAUAUGGGCUUUAGGCAACUCAUAAUUCAGCUGAAGAGAUUUUCCUGAAGCAGUGCUUAGGGUUUCUCUAGACUUCUGGUAGUACUUAGUAGGAAUUAGACCUUCCUGAAUACAGUUAAGGUCGGCUCCUGAAUCAAAUAAGGCAAUUGUGGUAAACUCAAAAUCUUUGACAACUAUUGUAACUUUCGAAUACCAUUUUCGGAAAUUGACUUGUUUGAUUAGGUUGACAACUGGAGUUUCUUCGUCAGAACCAGCAGGGCUGUCUGACUGGUUACUGGGCACUAAAGGCAUUUUGCCUUUUUGAAGACUUGUUAAGUCUUGCCUGAUUGUGUGGUUUUCAACCUGCAACUGGUUACUAAUCUGCCUUAACUCGGCUAAUUCUUGUUUGACUAAUUUGACUUCUAACUGGAGGUCUUGUAAGGUAACUUCUUUCUUUUUCUGAGCGAACUUUUCUAUAGUAGUGGCUAAACUGACUGGCUGCGGUUUAGGACUACUAGAGCUUUCUUGACUAAUGACUUUUCGCAAUUUUUUCAAAUAAUCGGACUUUAACUCAGGGUUUUCUACUCGGCUGAUUAAGUCGAUUAACAACUCUUCUUGUUCUUCCUGUUUGGUAAGAACAAAAAUAGAUUUUAAUCUAUUACAACACUUAUCGGUGCAACCAAAUUGGACAUCAGGGGAACUAGGCUGGGAAUCUGAAGCUUGUUCAGAAUCAUAUCCAGAGCUGGCAACUAAGGUUUCGGGACUGCUAGUUUCAGAGUCUCGCAACUCUAAAACUUGGAUCAACUUUUCUCUUUCAGCUUCUGAGAUCUGCAACUGCUUAAUGGCAUCUUUAACUUUACACUCAGAGGCAUAAUGACCAAAUUUUUGACAUUUAAAACAUUUAACUUUGGACUUAUCGGUUUUGGGUCGACUCUUCUGGGCUUUUCUGGGGGCUUUAGACCAAUUUUUUCUUUUAAAACUUUUUCUUUUCUUAUAAAACUCAUUAUCACUUUUAACUGCAAAAUGUUUUCUUUUAGAGGAAAACCGACGUUUCCUAAGGUGACUUGGCUUAGACUUAUUUCUGCAUAUGCAUUAGUCUGAAUACUGAGUUAAGUUGCUGCAUAAUCAUAUUCAUCUUCUUUCUCGCUAUCUCUCUGUGUCCCCUCUCUGUUGGUAUCAGAGCCGUAAGAGUUACGGUCUUUGUCUAAGUCUGCUACUCAUUCCCGCCCAAGUGGCUGGUUUAAGCUUCUGAGUAGAAGGUUUUCAUCUUCUUCUUUUCCUUCCUUUUUAUUCUUUGAGUUGUCUGUUGAUUUCACUCUAAGGUCUGACCCGUGAGUCCUUUUUGCUAGAUCUGUAAGUCCCGAGGGUAGGGCGUUUGUGCUGGGCAGGAGACAGAAAAUUGAGUGGAGUUAGUAGAUUUCUUAGAGUCUAAGGAGUGAGUCCGAGAAGUUCCUGUUUAUCUUCUUCCUCAGUCCGUUUGAGUCAAACACUUGAGUAGCCAUGAGUCGUUUUCUUAGGUCGAGUUCCUGUAAGUCAAGCAGUUCUAAGACCAAUAUAAGUCGACUCCCUGAGAUAGUUAAUGAAGAACAAUUUGAAUAUGAUUCUAGUUGCAAAGAACAAUUAGAUUUUAGAGAUUGGAAUAUCCCUAAAGUCCCUAGUCAAAAAAUCUAUAAGAAACAUUGGUUGCCUUCCAGUUUUAAUUGCACCACACAUGUCAAAACAGUUGAACAAGUUUACGCUCUUAGUAAAGAACACGAAACUUGCCAGUUGCUUAAUCUUGAGUCAAUCAAAAAGCACAAGACUGAUGGAAACAAUUUCCUGCAUAUUGGUCUUGUUCAAGUUGCCGUUAAGCCCCUAACCAGGUUAGGUUUGAAAGCCUCCAUACUGCUCUGUUUACGCGAUGCCCGGUUCACCGCGUUCAGUGACAGUACGCUAGGAGUUAUUGAGUCCAGUUUGUGUAACGGUCCAGUUCAUUUUGAUUGUUACCCAGACUUCACUGUAAGCCUUAGUGAUCCACAUAUAUUGAGAACCCUAACUCUCAAUAUUAAGACUGAAGGUUAUAAUGUCCUCCCAGGAACCCAACCUUUAGCAUUAGUUUACAGAAUUUACUAUAAGGUCACAGGAACCAAUAUGAACUUCCAGGCCUUAAACAAAAGCCCAAAGGAUCAGACAGUCCUGAUCCAGAGUCACACCUCAGACGCCCAUAUUCAAGUUCCCCAGACCAUUAAAUGGUCAGAAGUUGCCCUUCCAACAGAUUGGACCUUAGUUACCGAGAGCCAACCAGCUCCGAUUCAACGUAGUCUAAACAAUUUAGACUACAUCCAGCAGUACUUAGAUGGCACGGUUAAGAUUAGAUUCGAUAGCCAGCCUCUACAUAAGUCUAAAGUCCAGUUACACCAGUUACCAACCCCAGGUCAGUCACAAAGGCAUGCCCCAGCUAGGCACUCCUUUACUGCCUCAUCCUCAACUCUAGAACGAGACCUAGAGUUAGAAAAAACCAUGAUAGAUUUAAAGCUUGAGUCCCUGAGAAGAUCCUCUCAUGUAACCCAACCCUGCUACGGCACGGUUCCAGUAGAAGAAAAGUCAGAAUCCCCUGAGUCACCUACCCAGUCUGACUUCAUAGUUGAAAACCAGUUAAGAACCCUUAAUAGAAAAUUUAAAAUUGAUUGGUCACGUCUAAACAAACAUCUCAAAGCCCCUGAGAACCUGUCUAGACGAGAUAGUUAUCACCAAGCCUUUCCUGAUAGUAGCCGCCGCUUAGAAAUCUUUAGUGAAUGGAAAGAUUACAUGCGGUCAGCCCAAGUUGAAAUUUUCUACCUUGAUUUUGUUGAAAGCCGUUAUAUGUCAAAUGAUGAGUUAAAAACCUUAACUCAGCAAAAAUGGAAAAUGGCAGAUAAGUCUGUCGUUGAGUCUAGCCAUCCUCCAGUAGAAACCAUAAUUAUUGAGCAUAAAGAUACUCUUAUUCCUGCUACUCCUUUCAAAACAUUUGAAAGCAGUGACAGUAAUAGAAGAAUUCUUGAGCAAAAUAAUUAUACCAACCAGAGUCUAAUUGUUAUAGGAAAACAGUUGGAUACAAUUGAAACUAAAAUUGAUAAGAUAGGUUCUACAGACGUAGAGUCUAAAAAGAAAAUUGAAAAACCAAUUGUCCAGUUCCAGGAUCUUAGGUCUAGCCCGACCCUUAAGAUCACACCUACAAUAAAGAAAAUAGAAGACAUGUUAGCCCAGUUGACCCCUGCCAAAGUUGAAAAAACUGAGAAAUCUGGUCUUAAAACACUAGAUGCCUUUGCAGUAGAAAAUACCUCUGAGUCUGAGUCUUCAGAAGUAAGCAAUAUUUCUAAAAUUGAAAAAGCCUUUCAAACUUUAGAAAUCCAAGUUGAACCCAAAGUUAAGAAAUUAGAAAAGUUUGUCAGCCCCAGUAGUCUGACCAAAAAUUGGUAUCCCAGACCAACACCUCCUGACAUUCAAUUUGAAGAAAGAAACCUGCAGACCCAGUUCUCUGUUUCUUCCGACAAAUUGUAUGAAUGGAAUAUUGAUGGUCUCUCUGAGCAAGAGAUCCUCAAUAAGUUACAACAUAUGUCCAUGGUUGCCAAUAGUUAUAUCACCAAUCACAGUUUCAGACAGUCUGAAAUUGUCCCUCUGUUAGUCACUGGUUUCACCGGUACUCUCAGAAGUUGGUGGGAUAAACACCUGAGUCCUGAGUCUAAAAGCCGUAUAACCUUUGCUGUAAAACUGAAUGAUGACGGUCACCCUAUCUUUGACGAACGAAUAGGUCAAGGUAUAGAAGACGGUGUCAACACCCUGUUUUACACCAUAAUCGAUCACUUCAUAGGAACCCCUAGUAAUCAAACUGCUAGGAUCCAUGACCAGUUAAGUAAUCUUAGAUGCCCAAAGUUGUCCGAUUUCAGAUGGUAUAAGGAUGUCUUCAUCUCUAGAGUCAUGCUUAGAGACGAUAGUAACCAACCAUUCUGGAAAGAGAAAUUUGUUAAUGGUUUGCCAAACCUAUUUGCCCAUAAGAUCAGAACUACCCUCAGUAAUGAAUUAGGUCAUAUUGAUUGGGAUAGUUUAACUUAUGGUAACAUUGUAAGCACAAUUAAUCAAGUUGGCAUGAAAAUGUGUGUUGAUUACAAAAUCGGAAAACAAAUACAGUCCGAUAGGAAAUCAGCCAAAUAUGAGUUAGGAAACUUCUGUGAACAAUACGGUCUCAGUAGCAUUCCGCCCUCUAGAAGAAAUAAGUCUAAGCCAAGUCACCUUAGGAAACGUCGGUUUUCCUCUAAAAGAAAACAUUUUGCAGUUAAAAGUGAUAAUGAGUUUUAUAAGAAAAGAAAAAGUUUUAAAAGAAAAAAUUGGUCUAAAGCCCCCAGAAAAGCCCAGAAGAGUCGACCCAAAACCGAUAAGUCCAAAGUUAAAUGUUUUAAAUGUCAAAAAUUUGGUCAUUAUGCCUCUGAGUGUAAAGUUAAAGAUGCCAUUAAGCAGUUGCAGAUCUCAGAAGCUGAAAGAGAAAAGUUGAUCCAAGUUUUAGAGUUGCGAGACUCUGAAACUAGCAGUCCCGAAACCUUAGUUGCCAGCUCUGGAUAUGAUUCUGAACAAGCUUCAGAUUCCCAGCCUAGUUCCCCUGAUGUCCAAUUUGGUUGCACCGAUAAGUGUUGUAAUAGAUUAAAAUCUAUUUUUGUUCUUACCAAACAGGAAGAACAAGAAGAGUUGUUAAUCGACUUAAUCAGCCGAGUAGAAAACCCUGAGUUAAAGUCCGAUUAUUUGAAAAAAUUGCGAAAAGUCAUUAGUCAAGAAAGCUCUAGUAGUCCUAAACCGCAGCCAGUCAGUUUAGCCACUACUAUAGAAAAGUUCGCUCAGAAAAAGAAAGAAGUUACCUUACAAGACCUCCAGUUAGAAGUCAAAUUAGUCAAACAAGAAUUAGCCGAGUUAAGGCAGAUUAGUAACCAGUUGCAGGUUGAAAACCACACAAUCAGGCAAGACUUAACAAGUCUUCAAAAAGGCAAAAUGCCUUUAGUGCCCAGUAACCAGUCAGACAGCCCUGCUGGUUCUGACGAAGAAACUCCAGUUGUCAACCUAAUCAAACAAGUCAAUUUCCGAAAAUGGUAUUCGAAAGUUACAAUAAUUGUCAAAGAUUUUGAAUUUACCACAGUUGCCUUAUUUGAUUCAGGAGCUGACCUUAACUGCAUUCAGGAAGGUCUAAUUCCUACUAAGUAUUACCAGAAGUCUAGAGAAACCCUAAGCACUGCCUCAGGAAAAUCUCUCCAGUUGAAUUAUGAGUUGCCUAAAGCCCAUAUUUGCCAAAACAAAGUUUGUUUUAAAACUUCGUUUGUUUUAGUUAAAAAUAUUACUGAUGAGGUUAUCUUAGGAUUACCCUUCAUAAGUCUGCUUUAUCCCUUCCAGGUAGAAUACGACGGUGUCAUUUCUACCCAAUUAGGUGAGAAAGUUAAGUUUAGUUUCCUUUCUAAACCUGAGUUGCAUAAUCUGAAAGCCUUACAGAAACAUUCUGUCUCUAGGUCCCUUCAGGUUGUCCAAAAAACUAACCAGUUGAAAUUUCUUAAGGAAGAAAUUAAGUUUAAGAGAGUUGAACAACAACUUGCCAGUCAGUCCUUACAGUUGCAAAUUCAAAAAUUUGAACAAAGAUUAAAAGAAGAAAUUUGUUCUGAGUUGCCCACAGCCUUUUGGUAUAGGAAGCAGCAUGUCGUCCGUCUUCCCUACAUCAAAACCUUUAGUGAGAAAAAUAUCCCCACUAAAGCCAGGCCAAUCCAAAUGAGUCAAGAAAUGAUGGAGUUCUGUAAGAAAGAAAUUGAAGAGUUGCUUCAAAAGAAAAUAAUUCGCAAGAGUAAGUCCCCCUGGUCAUGUCCUGCUUUUUAUGUCCAGAAAAAUGCUGAACUAGAAAGAGGUGUUCCCAGAUUAGUUAUCAAUUAUAAGCCCCUUAAUGCGGUCCUAGAAUGGAUUAGGUAUCCCAUACCUAAUAAAAGAGAUCUCAUUAAUCGGUUAGAAAAAGCAGUUGUCUAUUCUAAGUUUGAUUUGAAAAGUGGUUUCUGGCAAAUCCAAAUAGAUGAGUCAGACAGAUAUAAGACUGCAUUUGUCACUCCCUUUGGUCAUUACGAGUGGAAUGUAAUGCCCUUUGGUUUGAAAAAUGCUCCUAGUGAAUUCCAGAAUAUCAUGAAUGAUAUAUUCAAUCCUUACAGUCAGUUUUCGAUUGUUUAUAUUGAUGAUGUUCUAAUCUUUUCUGAGUCAAUAGAACAACAUUGGAAACAUUUGCAUAAGUUCCUUCAAGUUGUCAAACAAAAUGGUUUAGUUGUUUCUGCCAAAAAGAUCAAGUUGUUUCAAACCAAUAUUCGUUUUCUUGGUUUCAAUAUUUGUCAGUCGCAAAUCUCCCCAAUUGAUCGAGUUAUCCAGUUUGCUGAUAAGUUCCCUGAUCAAAUUCUUGAUAAGAGUCAACUUCAGAGGUUUUUAGGAUCCCUAAAUUAUAUCUCUGACUUCUAUCAGAAUCUGAGAAAACAGUGUAAGCCCCUAUUUGAUAGGUUGCAGAGUAAUCCUCCUCCUUGGUCGUCUACUCACACUGAAGUUGUUAAACAGAUUAAAUCCCAUGUCAAGACACUUCCCUGUCUUGGUAUUCCUUCAGUUGAUUCAUUCAAAAUAAUUGAAACCGAUGCCUCUGACAUAGGUUAUGGUGGCAUUCUUAAGCAAAAAGUCAGUCCUAGUUCUCCAGAACAAAUUGUUCGAUUCCAUUCUGGAACCUGGACUCAGUCGCAGCAUAAUUACAGUACUAUUAAAAAAGAAAUUUUAGCUAUUGUAUUAUGCAUUAGUAAAUUUCAAGAUGAUUUGCUUAAUCAAAAGUUUUUAAUCCGAGUUGAUUGUAUGUCUGCAAAACAUGUUUUAGAAAAAGAUGUUCAAAACAUUGCAUCUAAACAGAUUUUUGCACGAUGGCAAAGUAUAUUAAGUAUAUUUGAUUUUGAAAUUGAAUAUUUGAAAGGCAGUGAGAAUUCUGUUCCUGAUUUUCUCACUCGAGAAUUCUUGCAGGAUGCACAAUGGCUCCCAAGAAAGACAAACAAAAAGCAGUAGCCAGUCAACCCAAGUUGCCCAAGUCGCCCAAAUCAACCCAGUCAUCCCAGUCGCUCAGAGUCCUUCCUUCCUCCAUGAGUCAACCUAAGCCAGAGUUGCCCAGGCAAAUAGUUCCAUAUCCGGGUCACCCCCCAUUAUCAGUUGCCACUCCAAUUUCAGUUGCAAACAGAUUUUCCUCUUUAGGAUCCACAGUUGGCCAAAUUCGCCCCAGUUAUCAAUCCACCUUAAUUUCCAGUUAUGACCCCUUUGCAGUUGAGAUCCCUGCAGAGCCAUCAGUUGUGCCAUCAGUUGUCCACAAAAAAUCGUCUCCUUAUUUGCCUAAAAGUAAUUCUCAUUUAUUUGUCAUUGAGUCCACAUAUGAUAUUCAUGCAAAUCCAGUAGAAAUUGCCAAACACUAUUUCCCUCCUGGAUUUCAUUAUAUGCCCCAGAGUCCAUAUAAGUCCCUCAAGUACUAUAGAGAUAUAUUACUUGAGACACAAUCAGUUGAAAUUAAGCCGAUAAAGGAUCGGGAUCAUCCUGAAACCAUUCUUUAUCAUUCUCUUUAUAUUCAUCAAAUUAUCAGUCAACAAUCUUUCAGUAGCCAUCCUUAUGAGUUGAAAUUUCUUAUGUCAAAAUUACAAUAUAAUUAUUCGGAUUAUAUUGAAGCUUGGUAUACUAUCUUUCUUCACCAAUCUGAAGAUUUUAGUCAUUCCUGGUUUAUUAAUUUUGAUAAUAAGUUCAAAAGCCCAUUCCCCUACUGGUUUCUUCACUGGUGGGAAAAAUAUGGUCCAGUUGAUGAAAUUCUUCCAGUAUCAGUUCUUGAGUUGAUCCGCCAUUUUACUAAAAGAGCCAAGUUUUCCCUAGUUGAUUUAUUCUUUCCCAAACAGUUGCUGUUUAUUGCCAGAUACAAGGUACCUUGGAUCCUUAAAUGGUCCUAUGCCAUCACCAAGGACACCCGUGUAUUUGCCCGCCAAUUCUCAAUCAAAUGGUGGGACAAGUUUGAAGUUGACAGAAUUGCCAAAUACGUCUACAGUGACCUCCCCCGGGAGCCAGUUGCUCACCCUGUAUCUCCUACAGGCUCAGUCAGAUCAUCCUUAUCAAUCGAAGGAAAAUCUAAAGCUGAGCUCCAGGAAAUUGCACGCCAGCUGAUCAUCCAGGCUUCUCAGAUGGAUGAUGAUGAGGACAAUGAUUCUCCUCCAUCGUCUAGUUGCCAACCCAUGCUGAGUCCUGCCAAGACAAAGUCAUGGUUCGAUGACAGCCAGGACCCCUAUGAUGCCUACGACCUAGGGGAAUCUUCUCCAUAAUUGCCUCAGUUGCCGACAAGCAAGCCUCGUUGCCAAUUUGUCAAAAGUAGUUGCCGACAGACCACUCUGUCAAAAGAAGUUGCUAGAUCACGUGAAAGCAGCGGACAAAGCAUCUCUGCUUUUACUUUUGUCAGAUCACCAAGAAGCAGCAGACAAAGCACUGUUUGCUUUUUGACAAUCCACCGAAAGUAGCCGAAAGCAUCUGCAGGAGUCAAAGUUACCUCUACAGUUGCUAAAGUUGAAUCAGGUUGAACAUCCGUGCCUCUACAGCUGUCCAACCAUAGUUGCUUUUGUAAACCAUAGUUGAAAGUUGUCUUUAAAUUCAGGCUUCGGCCUCAGUUGUAGGCAGAACUGGUUUUACCAGCUGCAUUUUAUUUUCCUAGUUUUAAAGAUUCUCUCUGAAACACCUUUAGAGAAAUCACGCUUGUACAUAGUCUAAGUGUGUUAAGUUUGCAGUUGCAACCUCUGUGAGUAUAAUAAAAGUUGCUAUUUUUAAAUUAUUCUAUUAUAUAUAUAUAUAUAUAGAUGAAAGGUAUGCAAAAAAUCAUCAGGCACAUGAAAUGAUUGGUACUGAAGGGGCACUGAGAGGAGAAGCAAUGAGGGCCACUAGCUUGUACCAAAUCACAUGGGUUUGUUUUCGUGCUCAUGUAACCCUUCCGCAAGAGAUUUCUCAUGAAAAUGAUCAAACUCUAUCCUUGUGUAGAAAUAGGAUUCCCUACCUAGCUAGCUCCUCUGGUUAACAGACAACAAAAGGGACCACCAUGUUCUUGAAAAAUGAAUUCAUUGCGCCUCUGGUUAAUUAACAGUACUGCAUAUGGUAUGCCCUACAACAAAAACUUGUUAGCUUGUGUGAUAAACUAGUAGUCUCUUUCUUUUUCAUCUUUUUAUAAAUGCUGCUUCAAAAGACAAGAAUUUGUGGUGCUAUGAGAAUAUACAUGGACCCUCGGAUGCUCUAUGAUUUGGUUGGUUGGGAGCACCAAACCACCCCUUGCAUGUGGCUUUGUCUUUCAUCUAUGAUAUUCAGGCCCAACAAGCAAGGGAAGUCUUUCAUUUGUUUGAAGAAUUGAUACUUACUGAGAAUGCAGUAGGUAAUGAGUACAUAUCUAAAAAGCAUAUGAUAUCAAGAGAGUGCUAAUCUGUAGCAAUUAUAAAUGUUGGAUACAUACUUUUUACUUAAAAGUAAAACAUACUCAUAGACUUGCUGUAUAUAUUCCUUGUCUCUCAAGGACUUGAUUCUUGCCUAGAAUAGGAAAUCCUUUGUGUAGACACCAAGCAAAGCAUUGUAUAUAAUUAUCACAUGAUUGUUCAAUGAAAAUCAUCGAGAAUAUUCAAAACCUUUCAUGGUAUCAAGAGCCUGAGACUCACAGUCCUCGAUCCUCAAUUUUCUUGUUCCCUGUCUUUUUUUUUUCUUUUUUUUUUUUUGGCACCAUGGCUUCUUCCUCCUCUAUUGAUUUUCCUGGCAUUCAUCAUGUUAUCUCCAUUCGUAUCAAGCGUGAUAAUUAUUUGACAUGGCUUGCUCAAAUUGUUCCUAUCCUUCGCAUCCGCCGCUUACUCAGCUUCGUUGACGACACUUCUCUAUGUCCUCCGACCAUUCCUGACCCAAAUGCUAAGGCCGAUGAAUUUUCUUUUCUGUCUCUCCUCCCCAACCCAAAGUAUGAUGAUUGGUGUUUACACCAUAAUGAACCGAGCAGACCCAGCACCAAAGUGACUAGUACCAAGGCAGCCACGCCUUCUCCUGUGCCGAAGGAAGACACACUUCCGAGGUGCCAGACACCAUAAUGAACCGAGCAGACCCAGCACCAAAGUGACUAGCACCAAGGCAGCCACGCCUUCUCCUGUGCCGAAGGAAGACACACUUCCGAGGUGCCAGACACCUACCGAAGCUCCCAGCUGCCAAACCUAAUCUCCAGGACACGUGUCGCCACCACGACGACUUGCACAAAGUCCCACAUCGGAACUUUGUGCAAACCUCCUACUUUCACCUCCCUAUAAAUAGGGAACAGUACCCAGGUAAAAAGGGUAACUAUUCUCCCACUUUUACUGUUACUCUGCCAGAAUUACUACUUGUAACUGACUUAGGCAUCGGAGAGCCUUCGGCCGGCACCACACCGAUGUCCGAAGCUUAACGAUUGCUUCUCCCACUUUGUCUUCUGCAGGUUUCCCAUCAACCUAUAUUUCACCAAGGGCCUCAGCUCUCUUCCCUACCGAAGACCCCGCAUACCUAAUCACUAAGUUGGACUCACUAUUGGCCGGGCCAUUUUGAGCAUCAACAAUUGGGUCCAGAAAGAUCAGCUUGUUUUCUCUCUCUCAUCAACGGUUCCUUUCACCAUAAAGUUCUCACCACCAUAGCUUCCAAGACCACCGCGUGUGACACUUGGGUAGCCCUUGAAACUCGUUUUGCUUCUCCAAAUCAGAAUCGUCUUCUUCAACUUCACAGUAACUUGCUUCGCACAACCCGUGGUGAAUCUUCCAUCACUGAUUUCCUUAAUCGUAUUAACUCGAUUGACGAUAACUUGGCUCUAGCAGGUGCUUCAGUUGCUAACUCUGAUCUCCUUGUUGUGGUUACGAACAACGUUUGUCCUCUUUAUGAAAAUACCAUUGCCGAUACUCAAGCUCGUGAGAAACCCAUCAAUAUGCCUGAUCUUGAUGCUUUCCUCUUGUCUGUGGAACGUCGCCUGUAAUUAUCUUCUUCUCUGGUCAUCUAUUCUGGUGCGACAGCUAUGGAAGCUUCCCACGGUGGUCUCGGUGGACGCGGUUUUGGCGAUCGCGCUGGGUUUGCUGGUCGUGGUCCUGAUCUUCGCAACUCAUUUUCUCCCUCACGACCUGGUUUUACUUCUGGUCGCGGUUUCCCUGGCGCUUCUUAUGACGCCUCUAGUCCUGCCUCACAUCAACAACGUUUUGUAGCAAUUUUGAGCCGAGUGUUCUUGGCCCACCUCCUUCUGGUUCUACUGCUUCCUCUUUUGGGCCUCAUUCUGCCUGUGGGCCUCUUCAAUGUUUCAAUUGUCAUGGUUUUGGCCACAUCGCAGCUGUCAGUCCUUCCAAGAUGUCUUCUGUGCCUUCUCCUCCGUCUCGUCUUCAAGACAUGACUGCUCAAUAUCCUUCACAUGGUGGCCAUCAACAGUGGGUUGCUGAUACCGAUGCAAACACUCAUUUUACUAAUGACCUGAGCUGCUUAUCCCUUGCUAGACAGUAUCAUGGUUCUGACAAUGUUGAAGGUGUGCUUGGUGGAAUAGGUUUGCCUAUUAAAAAUAUUGGUCACUCUCAUUUCUCUCACCUUAAUUCUUCUUUUCAUCUUAAUGAUAUUCUUCAUUGUCCCGAUGCAUCUCUUCCUCUUUUAUCUAUUCAUAAAUUUCCUACUAACAAAAAUUGUUUCUUCACUUUUUUUCCUGAUUGUUAUUUUAUCCAGGAUUUGGGGACGAGGAAGACACUUUUCUUGGGCAAGAGUAGUAAUGGCCUAUAUCCCUUUUCGUUUACUCCGAAUGAGUUUUUUCAAGUUUUGCGUGAUCGCGUUGCUUUACUAGGUGUCUGUGUUGACCACUCUAUGUGGCACUCUCACCUUGGUCAUCCUGCUUCGUCUACCAUUCGAGAUGACGUGCGAGUCAAGCUAUUGAAGUCUCGGAAGAACAACGAGCCUUUCGUGGAUGCGAAUGAUCUUGAUGCUAGGAUCAUCACCUUCCGUCCUUUUUACUUCUCCUUGGGCUUCAAAUUCCCGCUGUCAAAGCUUUUCAAGGAGGUGUUCUGCGCCAUGGGGUGUGCUCCGAGCCAGUGUACUCCAAACGCUUACCGAGCGAUCAUGUGCUUUGAGAAUUUGAGUCGUUUCUUCAUGUUGGAGCUGACGGUGCGAGAGUUCUUUUAUUUUUUCGAAGUGAGGCACUUCGAGCAGUAUGCCCAAGUUCGCGUCUACAAGGCCAAGCUGUUCAACAGUCUUAGUCAAGGGGAUCACGCUUGGCAUGACGACGUGUUGGAGGUCAGCGGACGGUGGGAAGGCGACGUCGGUGACAGCCCACUUGUUCCCAUCACCUAUUGCGAUGGUAUGUCUCUUUGCAAUUUUUGAUGCGCUCCUGUUAUUUGAAUUUCUUGAAGUGUGGCUGACUAACUUCUGUCUUCUGCUUGCAGUGAGUGACAUCAGCAAGCAAUUGGAGCUUGGGCCGGACAUGGCUAAGGUCCGUCGUGUUUUGAACAUCCCUCUAAGGUUUUGCGAGUGACGCUGGCUGUUGAGUGAGUACCGGGAGGAAGACGGUGGUUUGCCCCCUGCCGAGGAUGUCGAAAGGUGGAAGCAGAACGGUCCUGACCCUGAUGAUCUGCUUGGCGGACAAGAAGAAUGUUCUGCUGAAUCUCUCUCAAAGAGAAAAGCUGCUGCCAAAUCUUCAAGAGGUGAAGCUACUUCUUCGCACGCGAAGGAUGGGUCUCAUUCGAGGAAGAAACCAAGGCUUCCUUCUGCUGAGAAGACUCAAGUAGGGUAUGUUCCCUUAUCAUCUGCCAGGGUCAAGCAUCUCGUGGGUGCAGAUAGUACGAAGGUUGGUGGUAUGCGCGGUAUUCGGGGUGUUCUACACGAGCCUCCUGCUGACACGCUCGACAACCAUGAUAUGUUUCGUGAAACGGCUCGUGCUCGACCUAGUUCUGUCGAGCGUCAAAAAGAUGCAGGCAUUCCUCCUAGAAGUUCAAGUCGUCUGCAUCGGUCAAAAGAUGGAGAUCGAAACGGGAGGUCUGCUCAUGAUCCAGCAUUAUUGACUCCUUUGGAGAUGAAGUUAGCGGAAGCUAAGAAGAUGAGAGAGUCAUAUGCCCGAGUUAAGGGUUUUUCCUCCACGUCGGCAGUUGGUCCUAAGGUGAACUAGCCUAGCUCUGUAGGGGAUGCGAUCUGCUUAAGACGAACUUCCUAUCAAAUCCGUCGUCCUGUGCUGAGUUGGUUGAUCACAUCCAUCAGGCUGGCGAUCUUGGCACUUUCUCAUGUCUUUCCUUGGAAAAACAAAGGGAAGCGUCAUUCCAUCUGAUUCAAAAAGGACUGAUUUUUGCUGCUGAGACUAUUCGGAACUCAUCUGGUGUUGCCCCCUCUUCUGCCCAACUCAGCGAGUUGGAGAAGAAGAAUGCUGAAUUGGCCAGCCAGCUUUCCGCCGAGCAGGCCCGCUACGAGAAGAAGACGUCUGAUUUGAGGGCGAUGAUAUCUAGGCUGAAAAGCUCCCUUACCGAGAAGGAUUCCGAGCUCAACUCUUCCGCUGCUGAUUUGGUAGUCGAAAAGAUGCCUUCUUUCAUCUUGAGCGUAAGAAUGCGGACAUCUCCCUUAGCUAUGACAAACUCCUGGCUAGAUUUCAUGCCUAUCAUAAGUCUGCUAAAGAAUCCAAGUCUGAAGCCACCAUAGAUGCGUACAAAUUGCUACCUGCAUUGCGCAAAUGAGACUGAUUCCUUGUAUGCGAUUGAUGAUGUAGACAUCGAGAUGCUCUGCCCCGACUCACCCCCUAUGGAAGGGGGAAUUGAAGAGCAGGUAACCAGAGAGGAUGAAGCAGAGGUAGACGCAGUAGACAAGAUGAUGGCAGAUGUCAUGGUUCAGGCAGAUGGAGUUGCUGAAGACGUAGCUAGUCAGGUGGAUGCCGAAGAGGCUGCAGCUUAAAAGUCUUCUGCUGGCGUCUCCAAGUAGAUGAAGACUCUUUUUUGUUUCUUUUCAGCUUUUGUAGUUUGCUUUUUUGUUUAGAAUAACUGGUCUUAUUUGACCAUCUUCUUUUUGUUAAACUUGGCCGGUUGGUCUGUUUGUUAUGAAAAUUUCAGUUACAUUUUCCAACUUCAACUUGCAUAUUUGUCUUGUGAACUGCUUGAGUAACCAUCCUAUGUUUUAAUUGCACGUCCUCCUUUAGAGAUUUGUGAGUACCAGGGUCCCCCUUGAAGGACUCCGGGCAUGCACUGCAAAUCCCAUAGGAUGAUUCCCCUUAGGAAGUUGGCGAGCACCAGGAUCCCCCUUGAGAGACUCGUGUGUGUUCUGCACAUCUCUAGGAUGAUUUCCCUUAGGAAGUUGGCGAGCACCAGGAUCCCCCUUGAGAGACUCCGGGUGUGUUCUGCACAUCCCGUAGGAUGAUUCCCCUUAGGAAGUUGGCGAGCAUCAGGGUCCCCCUUGAGAGACUCCGGGUGUAUUCUGCACAUCCCGUAGGAUGCCUUGGUCGUCGCCCUGCGUCUCCCGUAGGACGCUACUUAUGGGCAACUACAUGAUUAUCUCGCCUCCCUUAGGAAACGGAUAGGAACCUAGAUAUUUCCCGCAGGAAGCAUGGAGACCUCCUUUUAAGAAAUUCCUGACGCACCCUGCGUCUCUCUUAGGACGCUUUUUUAGCGGGCUACGUCUCCAAACGGACGCGUUUUGUCAUCACCCUGCGUCUCCCUUAGGACGCUCCUUAUGGGCAACUGUGUGACUAUCCUGCCUCUCUUAGGAAACAGAUAGGAACCUGGAUAUUUCCCGCAGGAAGCAUGGCGACCCCCUUUUAAGAAACUCAUGGCGCACUCUGCGUCUCCCUUAGGACAUUUUUUUAGCGGGCUGCGUCUCCAAACGGACGCUUUUAGUCGUCGCCCUGCGUCUCCCUUAGGACGCUCCUUAUGGGCAACAGUGUGACUAUCCUGCCUCCCUUAGAAAACGGAUAGAAACCUGGAUAUCUCCCUUAGCAAAUUCCUGGCGUACCCUGCGUAUCCCGAAGGACGCUGCUUAUGGGCAAAUAUUGUGUUUCGUGGGCAGAUGAGACAUUUUGGAAUGAGAAACUGAACUUAUAUUGAUAUCAUAAGAUUACAGUCCUUUAUUCAAAAAUGGAAACAACUUGGUACAAAACUUAGAACUUCUAGCAGUCAGGAGGAGGUGCUACGGAUAAUACUUUCGAAGAUGGUGAGCAUUCCUUUGUCAUGGUAUUUCCUUCCCCUCCAUAGUGUCGAGUGUGUAGCUUCCUCUACCCCCAGACCGGCUGAUCAUGUAAGGACCCUCCCAGUUAGGAUUCAUCUUUUUUGACCCUUGCCUCGGUGUAGUAAUGAAAGUCUUUCUUAGCACGAGGUCGCCUGGUUGAAACUGUCUGACCUUAGCUCUUUUGUCGUGGUAAGACUUCAACUGUUGCUGAUAAGAGGCGACCCGGAUAAUGGUCUUCUCACGUUCGCCUUCAAGUAAGUCGAGGUUGAGCCUCAUCUGCUCGGAGUUCUGAUCAUCUGAUGUGGGGUGGUAUGAUCGCUUCUAUUCCAUAGGCGAGGGAGAAUGGGGUUUUACCAGUCGAUCUUCAUUUGGUGGUGCGAUAAGCCCAUAGUACUCCGGGGAGUUCAUCCACCCAUUUUCCUUCUGCGCCUUCCAGCCUUUUCUUCAAGCAGUCCAAUAUGACUUUGUUGGAUGCCUCGACUUGUCCAUUUCCUUGUGGAUACCUCGGGGUGGACAAGUGUUGCUUGAUCUUGUAUUUCGCAAAAAAGGUGGUGAUCUACUUGCCAAUGAACUGUGAGCCAUUAUCUGUAACCAGCGACUGUGGGCAGCCAAACCGGCAUAUGAUGUUUCUCCAGAUGAAUCGCUCCACAUCGGCCUCUUUAGUAGAGGAUAGAGCUUCGGCCUCUUUAGUAGAGGAUAGAGCUUCGGCCUCAAUCCAUUUAGUAAAGUAGUCGGUGGCGAGGAUCAUCAUUUCUUUCUUGGCGGGCGCUGGUGGCAAGGGACCCACUAGGUCGAUGGCCCAUUGCAUAAACGGCCAUGGACUGUUUUGCGGAUGAUAGACUUCGGCAGGCAGGUUAGGGAUCGGCUUGUAUCACUGACAGCGAUCACACUUCUUGACAUAUUCAGCGCAGUCGUGACGCAUGGUAGGCCAGAAGUAUCCUAUGUUUAGAGCUUUCUGGGCGAGUGACCUGCCCCCAGAGUGGUUGCCACACUCGCCGUCGUGAAUUUUACAGAGAACCUCAAGUGUUUGAGGGUACUUUAUGCAGGUGAGAUGAGGGCCGGAGUAUGAUCUGUGGAUGAGCUUGGUACCGUGCAUGUAGUAUCUCGCGGCCUUCUGCUGGACCUUUCUAGCUUCGGACUUGUCCGGUGGCAGGUUUCCAUUCGUCAAAUAGUCGAUGAUGGGGUCUUGCCAACUAGGGUCCUCGUCAAUCUGCAUGGUAUCGAUUAGCUCUAUUUCUUCAAUGCUUGGUCAGUCAAGGUGUUCGACCGGGAUGGAGAGUCUGAACUAGGUAUCUAGCGCUGAUCCUAGGCUUGCCAAUGUGUCUGCAUGAGCGUUCUCUGCCCGGGGCACUUGUUGGAUGGUGAAGGUGGGAAAUGCCUUCAACAGCUCUUGGACUUUGUCAAGGUGCAAGAUCAUCUUUGGGUGCUUUGCCAUGUAUUCACCUGAGGCUUGAUUCGUGAUCAAUUGUGAGUCUGAGUAGAUAGCUAGCUUUUUGAUUGCGAGCUCUUUUGCCAAGCGUAGGCCGGCGAGCAAUGCCUCGUAUUCUGCCUCGUUGUUCGAGGCCGGGAAGCCAAGCAUAAUAGCUUGCUCCAACAGGGUUCCAUUCGGAGUGGUGAUGACGACCCCUGCUCCAGCUCCUCUUUGGUUCGACGUUCCGUCUACGCGCAACUGACACAUGUCUCUGGGUUGGCUAGGUUCUGCGGAGGUCCCGUCUGCUUUUGAACUUUCCCUCUUUUGGUUGACCAACUUCACUUUUUCGGCUUGAUGGGGUGAAUUCUACGAUGAAGUCUGCUAAAGCCUGGGCUUUUAUAGCAGUUUUUGGCCGGUAGAGGAGGUCAUAUUGGCUUAGCUCUAUAGCCCACUUCAUGAGUUGCUGAGAAGCAUCAGGGCUGUGGAGGAUUGAUCUCAAAGGAAAGUCGGUCAUGACGAUGACUCGAUGAGCUUGGUAGUAGGGUCGCAGCUUUCUCGCAGAAACUACAAGAGCCAAAAUAAGUUUCUCCAACUUCGGGUAGCGAGUUUCUGCAUCGAGGAGAGCUUUUGACGUGUAGAAUACCGGAUGUUGGGCCCCCAGCUCUUCUCGAAUGAGAGCUGAACUGAUAGCUGAGUUGGACACUGCCAGCUAUACAAACAAGUUCUCACCAGAGACUGGCUUUGAGAGCAGAGGAGGUGAGUUAAGGCAAGUCUUCAGACUCUGGAAAGCUACUUCGCACUCCUCGUCCCAUUUGUCUCUUUGUCCUUUCUUCAAAGCUUUGAAGAAUGGUCUGCACUUGUCAGUUGAUCUCGAGAGGAAUCGGUUGAGGGCCGCUGCUCUGCCCGUCAGACUUUGUAUUUCCUUCACCGUGGAAGGUGAUUUCAUCUCGAGAAUGGCUUUGAUUUGACGUGGGUGUGCCUCGAUACCUCGUUGCGUGACUAGGUAUCCCAAGAAUCGGCCAGAGGAUACCCCAAACGUGCAUUUACUUGGAUUCAACUUCAUGCAAUAUUGGCGGAGCAAGCUGAAUGACUCAUCAAGAUUUCCAAUGUGAUCUGCACGUUUUGGGGCUUUGACCAGCAUGUCAUCCACGUAGACCUCCAUAGUUUUGCCGAUCUGCUCCUUGAAGAUUUUAUUUACAAGCCUUUGAUAGGUUGCUCCGGCGUUCUUCAGCCCAAAGGGCAUGACCUUGUAGCAGUAGGUCCCUCUCUCGAUGAUGAAAGAAGUUUUCGCCUUGUCAUCCUCGUGCAUCAGGAUUUGGUUAUAGCCGGAGUAGGCGUCCAUGAAGCUGAGCAGCUGAUUGCCCGAAGUGGAAUCCACGAGUUGGUCGAUUCUCGGCAAUGGGAAGUUGUCUUUAAGGCAUGCCUUGUUGAGGUCUGUGUAAUCGACGCAAACUCUUCAUUUACCCUUUUCUUGUUUUGCCACCAAAACAACGUGGCAAGCCAUUCUGAGUAGGAGACCUCUUCGAUGAAGCCGGCAGCUAGGAGUUUGUCAAUCUCAGCUUCGAUGAUAGCGACUCGCUUGGGUGCGAAGUUGCAUCUCUUCUGCGCCAGUGGCUUGCAUGCGGGGUUGAUGUGGAGUCGGUGACAAAUGAUGUUCGGGUCAAUGCCAGGCAUGUCUGAUGGCGACCAUGCGAACAUGUCUUUGUUCCUCUGGAGGAAUGUGGUAAGCUCCACAUUUUCUUCUGGGCUUCAGCGCGAGCCGAUCUGCGCUUUCCUGUCUGGCUGGUCAAGAUCCAAGGGUAUUAACUCGACGUCCUCCUCGGGUUUCCAUCCUUCUUCCGGAAAGACCUCUGGACAGAUUUCCUCAGCUUGGCCCUGACGCUUUGAUUUCUAUAAGAUAGCAAGAUUCGGUUGCUCAACCUCCUCCAGAUCCGCCUGGCUCACAGGGAGAAACUACGCUUGUUUGCCUUUCUUCAGCCCUUGGGCGGAGCAUUUCCUCGCCAUUGCUUGAUCGCUGUUGAUUUGGCCGACACCUCCCGUAGGGAUUGGGUACCGAAUUUUCUGAUGUGUGGCGGAGGUGAUGGCAUUGAUCUUGCCAAUCCAUGGUCUGCCCAGGAUACCGUUGUAAGGUGAGACCUCAUUAAUGACCAUGAAUGUUUGCAAGCUGAUCACCAGUGGGGAGUAAACGUCGAGGUCUAUCGUGCCCACGGUAAUCGUUGUUGCACCAUUAAAACCAGUCAGCAAUCUGACUAACUUGUUGAUCUUUGUCUCCAAGCCCAUCUGUUGGAUGACCGCCAGUUGUAGGAUAUUGGCUGCGCUGCCCUCAUCUGCAUGGAUUCGGUCGACCAUGGCCUGAGCGAUUUGAAUGCUGAUGACAAGUGCGUCGUUAUGUGGCGUGUCGAGGCCGAUCAGAUCUUUCUUUUGGAAGCCGAUCACAGGAUCGUCUUCUGCUAGUGGAGGGUCGAUCGAGACUUGGGAGAUCACAGUGGCCUGUUUGAUCUUCCUCUUCUUUUCUUUGCUGGUCAGCCCAGACUCCUCGAAGUCGGCUAGGAUUGUGUUAAUCCUUAUGACCUUCUGAGGCGGCUCCUUGGCGGUGUCUCGAUCUUCAAUCCGUUGGAUGGCCUGCUUCGCAACGAAUUCAGUGCAGUGGCCUUCUCUCAUGAGUUCUUCAAGAUGCGCUUUCCAAGCGGAGCAGUUGUUCGUAGUGUGCUCGUGCGUUUCAUGGAUGGCAUAGUAUUUGCUAGUGUCCCUCUUGUCCGGAUCUCCCUUCAAAGGUGGUGGUCUUCUUACCCAAGGUUUGUUCUUCACUUGGGCCAAGAUUUGAUGUAUGGGGAUGGUGAACUUGGUGUAGUUCUCUCCUCCCGUAGCCUCCCCUUGUGGGUGCGACCUACGCUUGUCUUUGUUUCGGUUGUUAAAUCCGUCGCCUCUUUGACCUGCCCGCUUAGUUGGCUGAUCUUCCUGCUUUGUAGACUUCUUUGCGGCGAUUCGAUCGUCAUCCCAGAGCGCGUAGCGUUCCGCAGUCUCGUAGACCUCUGCCAGCGUCUGGCUGGGAGUGAUAGUUAGCUCGUGGUACAAGUCGUGCUCAGCUGGAAGGCCUUUCUUGAAAGUGGAGGACGCGAUUCGGUCGUCACAUCCUACAAUGUUUGCCUUUUCUGCCUUGAAUCUCUUGAUGUAACCUCGAAGGGAUUCGUCAGACUUCUUGCGCAGGUUGUACAGGUGGUCAAGGUUCUUCUUGAUUGUCCGGUAAGAGGUGUAUUCUUUGGUGAAGACGUAAGCUAGCUCCUUGAAGCUGCUGAUCGACCUGGAUGGUAGGGUGUGGAACCAGUCUUGGGCUGCUCCUCGCAAGGUUAUCGUAAAUACCUUGCACAUUAGCGCGCCGUCAGCCUGGUGGAGGAUUAUAACACUUUUGAAGUGUUUUAAGUGGCUCUCGGGAUCGGAAUCCCCUUUGAAGUGUAUGAACGAGGGUGUCGAGAAUUGCUUCGGGUGAGCGGCCUGCUCGAUAUCGAGGGUGAAAGGCGUAGAGCUCACCUGGUCCAUCUCCUUACGUAGUGAAUCCUCGAAGUUUCCUCCGGUCUUCAAGUCUCGAAGUCGGUCAUUCACGAGCUUCUCAACGUCUUCUGUGCACAUUGCUGGUCGGUUAUGUUGGCGACCUCCACGAUAUUGACUGACUUCCUCAUUGUCCUCCGAGGGUCGACCUUCUCGCCUGAGCUGCCUAGUUGAAGUGUUGGUGGACUGCGCCUGCGAAAGAUUCUCUAUAGCUUGUCGACGAGAAUUGGUUCUUCGAGAGUGAGUAACGGAGCGUCUUUCCUCAUGGUCCUCAUUGUGAGGGUUAUCCAACUGGCCUCCCUGGGGGCCUAGCCUUUUGAGAGCGCUUCUCUGUGAGUUGACAGCUGAGCGCCUUUCUUCGCGAUCCUCAUUGCGAUGGUUGUUUGGCUGACCUCCUUGGGGGCCUAGCCUUUGAUGUACAUUUCCCUAGGGGCCCAAGCGGGCGCGGACGUUGAGUCGUCUACCGGCGCGUUCGUCCAUCCUUCUCUCCUUGCCCGGUGGUCCAUGGCCAAGGUUCUGAGCAAAGCCUAUUUGGUUGAUGAGCUGCCUCAUUAGAUUGCUUUGGUCGUCCACUCUCUGAGCUAGCUGGUCAACUCUUAGAUUAAGGUCUGCUUGACUUCGUGGAUCGGGAGGAGAGAAGUGUGUGGAGCCCAACUGCACACGGGCUAGGUUUUCAUUGGAGGUGUAUGCAGGAGCGUGCGUUGCGCGUGGAGGCAAUGGAGGGAAUGCUUGGAGUUGCUCCAAGACCGGCCCUAGGUCGGCAGUGGUAACGAGUCCACCUUGAUGGGAAGUUCCGCCAGGUUCGACGGCGAUGGCCGGUGCUGUGGUGAGAGGUGGCGGUGCCACCAUGUCGAUCGCGGGAUCGUGGGUGGAGUGGCUUUGGGUCGUCGCGGAUCUAACCAUCGCGGCGGCUUUGCCUCUUGUGUUCAUGCUUCCAACCAUGGUUGUUUGGAAGGCUUCGGUGGAUUGAAAAAUAGGAGGAACGGAUUCCUUGAGCACGCAUUGAGUAUACCUCGUGCUCUCAAUGAAAGCACCAAUUUGAGGGAGCAAAUUUCCCCACGAGAAUAUUCGCCCAAGAUUCCUUCGUCUUCUCCGCCUCUCUUUCUCCCUGCAAAACAGAUCGGAGUAAAAGACCACACCCGGGGGGUGUUGGCCAAAGGCCCUCCGAUGCCUAAGUUAGGUAGGGUAAUUCAAGGAAAACCGGGUGGCCGGAGCCGUGUGUGGUGGCCGGAGCCUUGUGUAAGAGAGAGAAAGAGAGGAGGUGGCUAGGGUUUUUGAGAAAUAAUUUCUGCAGAGCUUUAGUAAGAAUUUAGGCGUACCUCAACCAUUGUGUGUGGCUAUGCUUUUAUAGUAGUCUCGAAGGCUAGGGUUUCAGAGGAAUAAUUCCGUAGAUGGAAGGGAAUUAUUCCUCCCCUUUUUGGAAUUGAUUUGAUUAAUUAGGGAUUUGAUUAAUUAGGGUAAAUCAAAUCCCUAAUUGUGGUAGGUAUCAAAUCAAAUCCUGAUUCAAUUAGGCAACUCCUCAUUUAAUUGGGGAUCGUGGUAAUUAACCAAAUCAAUUCUCAACCUAAUUAGGUAAUGUUCAAUUUAAUUGGGUAAUUCCCAAUUAAAUUGAGUAAUUCCCAAUUAAAUCGAGUAACUCCCAAUUAGGUUGAUUAAUUCCCAAUUGGGUCAAAUAAUCCCCAAAUGGUAGGAAUUAUUUGACCUAUGGUUUGAUUUAAUUAGGUUCCCACAGGAACCAUGUAAAAAGUUAUAUGGUAAGCAUUUUAAUCAAAUUCUUGUGCAAAUCUACUACCACUUGGGGAUUAAAUAUAUAACAAGAGCUACAAGAAGACAAUACUAUAAAGCAAACCAUAAGACAAGAAAGGAUAAUGAUUUCAAAUAGAUUGUACAUUGCUCCUGGAGAACAAUAAAGAAGUUUACAUAGGUUUAAAAGACAGAAUUUGACUGCCCUUGGGUGGGGGGAUGAUAUUUGGAACAAUGGUUCUAGGGAAUUCAUGAUAUUAUCACUUGUCUGCUUCAUAAAUUUCUAUGUUUCUGCUCAGCCUAGAAGCAGUUUCAGGAUUUGAGAAGGUUUGCUUUCACCACAAGAUGUGAGUUGAUUCCAUGGAUGAGCAGUGGUAGCCUCUUCUUCAUCCCAACUCAGUGAGUUCUGAAAUGAGGAUGCUUUGGAUAUAAUCAUAUCCAAAUUCUUUCAUCUUGGCUCAGUGAGCUCUGAAAUGAGGAUGGUUCGGAUAGAUUGGAUGACCGAUUCGUAUACACUCACACACUCAAGCGGGAAGUGAGAUCAAGGAAGGUGUUUUCACUGCAGGGGAUUGUGAUACCUCCCAUGGGAUGAUCAUAUCCGAAUUCUUCUUCAGCUUGACUCAGCAAAUCCAGGAAUAAAGGCUCAUUCAAAUAUGAUAUCGGAAUCACAAACCGCUUCUUCUGGCUCUCCCCAACAUAGACUGCAAGGUAGCCUUUUGGGAUAUCUAAAGUCUUUGAAUCUGCUGUCUGGCUUGAACUAGAUAGAGAUCGAAUGAGACUUCUCUUUGCAUUAACAAUUGCAGGCAACCGGAAACCCAUGAUCUUAUAUAUUCUCAAAGGACAAAAGAAGAGAGGGAAUUCAAAGGACUUGG